CCAUCCCUUAACAGUGACAGGUGUGAGCACUAUGUCUCUUCUUUGAGCAGAGUUGGCAAAUAGUGUUGGAGUAGGAAGAGAUAAGAUGCUUGCCAAAUAGUGCAUGACGAUCCACACGUCCUUUAGAGAAGAUGUGUGUGGUAGAACUUGUGCUUUUCUGGGAAUCAUGAUAUCCCUGUGACAUUUGGGAUAUAGUGAGAAAUUUGGGCAUGCUUUGAGUUCAACAUCUCUGAUGAAGGACUUCUUUCUUUGUUAAAGGUAUCAUUGAGGAUGAAUGGUCACAACUCCAAAAAUAAAUGUCGCAUUCCACAAUCUAAAGGAAGUAAGUGAGCUGUUGUUUCUUCCUCGAACCUCCUUCACCAUACAAAUCAUUCCAGUGCUUCAACUCAUUCAUUACAGAUCCUUCUGAUGCAAAACUUGCAGCCUCUUGCAUUUAAUCAGAUAUCCGUAGUGCGAUGACUGGAGUAUUUUCUACGUCUUUCUUUGUUUUGUUCCAAUGGAGUCGUGUAAGGACCAUAUUACUUAUAAAAAAAUUUCAUACUUAAUUGUUUUUUAUGUAAUGUGAUGUUGAUUGGAGUGCUUCUUAAGUCUUUCUUUGUUUUGUUUCCGGAAAGUCAUACUAGGGCAUGCCACUUAAUAAAAAUUAAUUUCCAA